CCCAGAUUCCUACGGGAGGCAGCAGUGGGGAAUAUUGCACAAUGGGGGAAACCCUGAUGCAGCGACGCCGCGUGAGCGAUGAAGUAUUUCGGUAUGUAAAGCUCUAUCAGCAGGGAAGAAAAUGACGGCACCUGACUAAGAAGCCCCGGCUAACUACGUGCCAGCAGCCGCGGUAAUACGUAGGUGGCAAGCGUUGUCCGGAUUUACUGGGUGUAAAGGGCGUGCAGCCGGGCUGGCAAGUCAGAUGUGAAAUCCCGCGGCUCAACCGCGGAACUGCAUUUGAAACUGUCAGUCUUGAGUACCGGAGAGGUCAUCGGAAUUCCUUGUGUAGCGGUGAAAUGCGUAGAUAUAAGGAAGAACACCAGUGGCGAAGGCGGAUGACUGGACGGCAACUGACGGUGAGGCGCGAAAGCGUGGGGAGCAAACAGGAUUAGAUACCCUUGUAU
rnacentral:rRNA from 1 species